rnacentral:rRNA from 1 species
UCCCAGACUCCUACGGGAGGCAGCAGUGGGGAAUAUUGCACAAUGGGGGGAACCCUGAUGCAGCGACGCCGCGUGAGCGAUGAAGUAUUUCGGUAUGUAAAGCUCUAUCAGCAGGGAAGAAAAUGACGGUACCUGACUAAGAGGCCCCGGCUAACUACGUGCCAGCAGCCGCGGUAAUACGUAGGGGGCAAGCGUUAUCCGGAUUUACUGGGUGUAAAGGGAGCGUAGACGGCAAUGCAAGCCAGAUGUGAAAGCCCGGGGCUCAACCCCGGGACUGCAUUUGGAACUGUGUAGCUGGAGUGUCGGAGAGGCAGGCGGAAUUCCUAGUGUAGCGGUGAAAUGCGUAGAUAUCAGGAGGAACACCGGUGGCGAAGGCGGCCUGCUGGACUGCAACUGACGUUGAGGCCCGAAAGCGUGGGGAGCAAACAGGAUUAGAUACCCCUGUA